rnacentral:lncRNA from 10 species
UACCACAGUUAUUUCUAACUUGGUAAGCAAUUAACUACUUACCAUCUAAAUCAUGCACUUCGAUCUAAAUUUCAUGUCACUUCCUGUUUCAUGGCCUAUGAGUAAAUAUUCUGGUUUUCUUUGAUGAAUUAAAAAAUACAUCCAUUUGUCAAACAAAUUCUAAAUCUUCAUUUAUCUAUUUAGUUAUAACCAAAAUGGAAAUGGAAAAUACAAGACAAUUCUCAUUGAAAAAUGUAGGAUGACUGUCAGAAACUUUACUAUUAAAUAGGUGUAUAAACAAAUGGCUCAACAUGAAACACACAUUUUUUGAGUGACUUACAUUACUAUUUUAGAGAUGCUCAACCUUCACUCUGAUUAAUGUCCAAUCAACAGAGACUCUGAACAUUCUAGCUUUGAAGUUCUGCUCUUGCCACUACUACUCAUAAUUCCCCACAUCUCAAUCCCUAUUAUUCAUAUCCACCCACUCAACAGUCAGUACCUGAAUGUUUCAAAUGGUAGCACAUGGUAUAACGGUAUAGUUUUUUAUCAAGUAAAAAUUACACUGGGUUUUAACUGUUUUGGCAAAGUUAUAUUUCCAUAUUCCAAAAUUAUGUUGUUUUAUAUGCUGCCUUGCUAACAGAAUUAAGGAUUUUGGCUGUGUGUCUUUUUCUUUUUUAUAUUCUUCAUCAAACCAGGAACUGAGAGAGGCAAUUUCACUCUGUUGAAAUCCUGAAAGCAGAUUAAGGAGCAGCUCUAGAGAGGCAAAUACUCUACACAGUAAAUAGAAGGGUAGUGGAUGUCUGUGUAGACUGUAUCGCUAUUCACCCUGUACUGAGUCCCUCACUGAGGGAGAAUUAUACACCCCCUACCUGCUGAACUAAAGUGUAGCCAAGUGACUUGCUUUGGCCAGUGAAAUGUGAGUGGAAGUGACGUGUGUUAUUCCUAAGCAAAAGCUUUCUGAGCAUGUAUUUUACCCAGUUCUCUCCUCCUUUUGCCGCAGCAACUGGUGAAGUUCCGGUAUACAGAGCCUACUCGAUCUGCCUGAGUCCAGGGACAAAAUGACACACAGCAGGGUUGUAGCUGGCCCAUGAAGACACAGAAUAUGAACAAGGAACAAACCUUUCUAUAAGUCACUGAGGUUUGGGGGUCGUUACCAAUGCAUAAACUAAACUGACUGGAACAGUGACCUUCAUCUUUGCAUCACACAUUGUCAUCAAUGAAGUUUUUUCAGCACAUACUUCCAAUAUAUGUAUAUUUAUUUAUAAAUUAUAUGUAUGUAUUACUGUACAUUCUGCACUUAAAACAUGCCAUACCCAUCCCCAAAAUGUGGAACGGAUGAGACUAAAAAUAUAUGUUGUAUUAUUUAUUUCUUUCCCACAUUCCCAAAUGAUCAUCUUGGGGAUGCCAUGUUGGAACCACUAGUCUAGUACACUGGCAUCAAAAGUAAAGAUAUAAAUAAGGCUUCCCAGAGAUUUAAGCUU